CGAACGGGUGAGUAAUGCGUGACCAACCUGCCCCAUGCUCCAGAAUAGCUCUUGGAAACGGGUGGUAAUGCUGGAUGCUCCAACUUGACGCAUGUCUUGUUGGGAAAGUGUUUAGUGGCAUGGGAUGGGGUCGCGUCCUAUCAGCUUGUAGGCGGGGUAAUGGCCCACCUAGGCUUCGACGGGUAGCCGGCCUGAGAGGGCGGACGGCCACAUUGGGACUGAGAUACGGCCCAGACUCCUACGGGAGGCAGCAGUU
rnacentral:rRNA from 1 species